rnacentral:misc_RNA from 1 species
GUGGGGACCAGGCUGAAUCGA